rnacentral:lncRNA from 1 species
GAGUUGAUUUCAGAUAUUCUAGUCAUAUGGUCGAAUGAUAAGGUUUGGCUAGUAACCAUGACUUUAGUUCGAUUGGGACGUUGUAUGUUGAAAGGAAUUAAUCACAUAGUAACUGUAAGCGGAAAGGUUCAUUUUUCAUCACCAUUCUGGAUUGCCGUGAUAUACUGCUAGGUGUCACUCGCGGACGGUGAGAGAAUAUGAUGAUUCGAAUUGAAUUGUUCUUAUUUAUCAAUUAGAAGAGUUCUAAUUAAAUAUCAGAGAGUUUGAUAUUGAGCUCGACUGCCGAAUGGUAAUGAACCUAUGCAGUCACACACAUUAGGAAUUGUGUGCACCUGAAUCGUUUGGAUGAAAGUCGUUCACUAAAGAGUUUAGUGUAAGCGAUAAAAAUAAAAGAAAGCUGCUUAAUUAAAUUAGAUUUAAUUAUUCGAUUCGGUUAUAACUGAUAAU